rnacentral:rRNA from 1 species
UACGUAGGGGGCAAGCGUUGUCCGGAAUUAUUGGGCGUAAAGAGCGCGUAGGCGGUCCGGUAAGUCAGCUGUGAAAGUCAAGGGCUCAACCCUUGAAAGCCGGUUGAUACUGUCGGGCUAGAGUACGGAAGAGGCAAGUGGAAUUCCUGGUGUAGCGGUGGAAUGCGCAGAUAUCAGGAGGAACACCCAUAGCGAAGGCAGCUUGCUGGGACGUAACUGACGCUAAGGCGCGAAAGCGUGGGGAGCGAACAGG